AUUGAACGCUGGCGGCAUGCCUUACACAUGCAAGUCGAACGGCAGCACGGGUGCUUGCACCUGGUGGCGAGUGGCGAACGGGUGAGUAAUACAUCGGAACAUGUCCUGUAGUGGGGGAUAGCCCGGCGAAAGCCGGAUUAAUACCGCAUACGAUCCACGGAUGAAAGCGGGGGACCUUCGGGCCUCGCGCUAUAGGGUUGGCCGAUGGCUGAUUAGCUAGUUGGUGGGGUAAAGGCCUACCAAGGCGACGAUCAGUAGCUGGUCUGAGAGGCCGACCAGCCACACUGGGACUGAGACACGGCCCAGACUCCUACGGGAGGCAGCAGUGGGGAAUUUUGGACAAUGGGCGAAAGCCUGAUCCAGCAAUGCCGCGUGUGUGAAGAAGGCCUUCGGGUUGUAAAGCACUUUUGUCCGGAAAGAAAUCCUUGGCUCUAAUACAGUCGGGGGAUGACGGUACCGGAAGAAUAAGCACCGGCUAACUACGUG
rnacentral:rRNA from 1 species